AAAGUACUCCCUCCAUCCCAAAAUUCUUGUCUUAGAUUUGUCUAGAUACGGAUGUAUCAUGUCACAUUUUAGUAUUAUAUACAUCCGUAUCUAGACAAAUCUAAGACAAGAAAUUUGGGACAGAGGGAGUAGUUG
rnacentral:pre_miRNA from 1 species